AUUGAUUGAAUUGUUCUUCAGUGGAUGGGAUGGUCAAGUGUGAGAAGUGGAUUCAAGAUGAAGAUCCGUCCAAGGAGUCGAAAACGUCAUGGUGGUUGAAUCACCUCAUCGGCCGCCCCCGCCCCCGCGUCGCUUGGUGCCGCCCCCUCCCCAGCGGGUUCGGGCGCAACCUGCGUCGGGAGAGCUCGGUGUGGUCGCGCGGCAGGGACGAUCUGUUCUCGCAGUCGCGAUCGUCGUGGGACGAGGAGGCGCUGCGUCGGCGACGACCACGAGUGCUUCCUCUCCAAGUUCAAGGACCUCCUGCAAUACUGUGUCUCAUUUCGCUGCUGGACUUCAUAUGAGUUGGUGGAUAUGAUUUUUGAGGUCAAGAUAGAUCAUUGCUUCGUAAUCAAGCAGUUUGGCAACAAUAAUUCCAAGGUUCAGUUCAUCAAGUACUCUGAUCAGUAUCAAUGGUUGGUGCCUCUCGUGCUACCUACAUAUUGGUUUGGUGCUGGUGUAAUUUUCAGGCUUG
rnacentral:lncRNA from 1 species